rnacentral:tRNA from 1 species
UCGACUGUAUAUAUAAAUGAAAUAUGCACAUAGAUUAGGGGCCCAGAUAGCCGUAGCGGUCGUGGGUUCGAAUCCCACCGGUCGAG